GUACUUGUGGCACAUACACUAAGAUUAAGCAAUGCAGAGAAAGUUGGCAUGGCCCCUGUGCAAGAAUGAAACACAAAUGUAUGAUAUGUUUCAUAUUAGG
rnacentral:snRNA from 1 species